GCGGCGACGGCGGCGGCGGGAGCGGGAGCAGCAGCAGCAGCGGCAGCCCCACGAUCGCUAAGGAAUGCGGCGGCUCCGCAUAACCACGGGGUCAGGGGUCACGGCUCCGGCCUCCGCUUUCCCGCUCUGCUGAAGGACCGAGACAGGACUGGCGGCAGGGCGGGACGGCGAGACGCGGCUUUCCCUCCGGCGCCUGGGUGCGUGCGUGUCUGUCGUGGGUGUGUGUGAGUGUGUGUGAAGAGUGAGGAGGGGGAGUGUGGGGUUUUUUUUUUUGAACAAAAACAAACCGAAAGGGCCACUGGGAAUCGUAGUCCCGGCUGCCUUUUUGGUCUCCUCCGCUCCGGAAGAAUAUGGCUGCGUGAAGCGCUUGGACCACACUUCCCGGCGUCCCCUGCAGCAAUCUUUUCUGCCCCCACCCCCACCUCCCCGCUUCGCUCAGAGCUCGUGCUGGGGGUCGAACCCAGGGUCUUGUGCUCAUACCUCUACCACCGAGCUACAGCCCGGCCCUGUUUUGAUUUGUAAGAGACGCUGCAUGGAAGGAGUAGCAGAAGUGGAAUUUCAAUAAACUUCACAUCAAAAGCCUU